rnacentral:lncRNA from 1 species
CACCACAAAAAAAAACACAUUAUAUGAUUUCGUUUAUAUGAAAUGUCCAGAAUAGACAAAUCUACAGUGACAAAGUAAAUUAGUGGUUGCCAAGGACUGGGGUUGGAAUGGGGAGUGACUGCUAAUGGGCAUAGAAUAUUAUUUUGGGGUGAUAAAAAUGUUCUAAACUUGAUUAUAGAAAUGAGACAGGAUAGUUCCCUUGACCCACUUCGUGGGUGGGAAUGGAAGUGGCUCAUUUCACUUAGCCUGCCACUGGCCACUCCUCAUGAGACAGAGUGUGCCAGCAAGGGAGUGUGGGAACUGGAGAGAAUGAACCCUGGACCUGGCCACUCUUCUCUGGCGGAAGCAGGUUCCGUGCGGGCCCUACAGCAGCAUCCAAGCCCCUGUCCUCUCGGCACCUGAGUUCUUGUUUGGCAUCCAGGAAGAAUUAGGUCACCCACACGGAUUGAAAGGCCCCCAGAUGAGACAGGAUUGUUCCCUUCAUCUUAACCCCCUUCGUGGGCGGGAACUGGAGCAGCUCAUUUCACUCAGCUCGCCUCCUGCCACUCCUGGCGGCAGAGCGUGCGAGUGCGGGAACCGGAGCGACCGAAUGCUGGAACCGGCCGGUCACUCCUCUCUGGCGGGAAUAGGCUCUGUGCGGGCCUCACAGCAGCGUCCAAGCCCUGGCCUCUCGGCACCGGGGUACCUGUCCGGCGUCCAGGAAGAAUUAGGUCAUAUGAACGGAUUGAAGAGUAGUGUAUGCGGAAGAUUUGAUUGAGUGGUGGCUCCUGGUGGGAUGGGUACUGGAAAGCAGACGGUGAAAGAGGGUCAUCUUUCCCUGAAGCCGCACCAUCUGAAGUUAGCUGCGUCUAUCUGUAGUCUUCAACACUCUUGCUGCUUCUCUGCUCACCGCUCAGCCGCUUGUGUUGCUCUGCCAGCUGAAGUCUUUUUUAUGGCCACAGGAUAGGGGCGUGGCAGGCCAAAAAAACAACAUUUGGGCAGAAAAACAGGGUCAGCUGUUUUCAAGGCCGUGAUUCCAGGCUUAAGGGUGGGGUUUAGCUGGGAACCCAGCCAUUCUGUAUCAGUGAUAGUUGCACAACUAUAAAUAUACUAACAACCAUUGAAUUGUGUACUUUAAGUAGAUUAACCGUAUGAUAUAUGAAUUACAUCUCAGUAAAGUUGUUUUUUAAAAAAUAUGCAUAUACCUUAGUCUAGCCGUUCCAGGUCAUAUACUACAGCGAUAGUAACAAAGAUAUAAUAUGUGGUUUAUAAUAAUAAAUAUUGGAAAUACUUAAUCUUGCAAAUGCAUGAUCAGUAAGGUAGUGGAGGCAAAAACUAGGUUUCCCAGGAGCUUCAGGCUUCUCAACUUCCAAGUAGUAAUCUCAAGGAAGUACGUACUCUGACUGAAACUGUUUAUGUCACAGACCUACUCCUUAGACCAAUCACUGUUCCCAUAGAGAUAGCUCAUUAUGAUUUGUGGAGUCAGAAUCAUGUGCCCACUGCUGAAAUCAGGAAUUCAGGGUCCUGGGAGAGUCACCCGUGCCACCCACCUAAUGUUUUCUGGAAGUUUGACUUUAAAAGGAAGAAGACAGCAAGAGAUCAAUAUAGCUAGAGUGUGGAGAUGAGGUGUUUUCUUUAAAAUAGAGGUGACUUGAACACGUUUAAAUGCUUGUGCAAAGUAGCCAAUAUAGAGGGAGCAGUUAAAGACACAAAAGAAAUAGAAUAUUUCUAAUCAAUAGAUCUCAGGAAAUUAUUAUUUCCCACUAUCCCUCAGAAAAUUAUAUUCAAUAAAGGAAUUUGUUUCUGGCUCCUUGGAGGAUUAACUUUCCUUUUCAUGCUUAGGCAAUACAAAGUUGAAUCACCACUUUAAACCACAUUACACAGACUAGAAGGUGAAACUCCAAUGCCCAGGCCAUUAUGUUAAUCAAUACUUCAACCUUCUUUUUUUUUUUGAGACAGAGUCUACGCUCUCGUUGCCCAGGCUGGAGUGCAAUGGCGCAACCUCAGCUCACUGCAACCUCUGCCUCCUGGGUUCAAGCAAUUGUCCUGCCCCAGCCUCUCACGUAGCUGGGAUUACAGGCAUGCGCCACCACACCCAGCUAAUUUUGUAUUUUUAAUAGAGACGGGGUUUCACCAUGUUGGCGAGGCUGGUCUUGAACUCUUGACUUCAGGUGAUCCACCAGCCUCAGCCUCUCAAAGUGCUGGGAUUACAGGCGUCAGCCACCGCACUCAGCCUCAACCUUCAAUAAAAAUAGGAUUCCCUCCACUCACUCCUUUACCCAGUUAGGGUGUAAUUGUGGCAGGCCAUCUAUCUGUCUUUGCAAAAGGGAACAUGGUAAUCUUUGUUUUGUUUGUUCACCUCUUCUCACAUUCUCAGCUGCUGUAGCUGACCCCUCUUAGUUGGAACACGAGGAGGGAGGAGAAGAAAGGGAAGCAGAAAG